UACGGGGGGAGCAAACGUUGUUCGGAAUCACUGGGCGUAAAGGGCGUGUAGGCGGCUGAAUAAGUGGGAUGUUAAAUCCCCCGGCUCAACCGGGGACCUGCAUCUCAUACUGUUCAGCUCGAGCACAUCAGAGGAGACUGGAAUUCCGUGUGAGCGGUGAAAUGCGCAGAUAUCAGGAGGAACACCGGUGGCGAAGGCGGCAUCCUGGACCAAUAUUGACGCUGAGGAGCGAAAGCUAGGGGAGCAAACGGG
rnacentral:rRNA from 1 species